GACGAACGCUGGCGGCGUGCCUAAUACAUGCGAGUUGAGCGCUGAAGGUUGGUACUUGUACCAACUGGAUGAGCAGCGAACGGGUGAGUAACGCGUGGGGAAUCUGCCUUUGAGCGGGGGACAACAUUUGGAAACGAAUGCUAAUACCGCAUAAAAACUUUAAACACAAGUUUUAAGUUUGAAAGAUGCAAUUGCAUCACUCAAAGAUGAUCCCGCGUUGUAUUAGCUAGUUGGUGAGGUAAAGGCUCACCAAGGCGAUGAUACAUAGCCGACCUGAGAGGGUGAUCGGCCACAUUGGGACUGAGACACGGCCCAAACUCCUACGGGAGGCAGCAGUAGGGAAUCUUCGGCAAUGGACGAAAGUCUGACCGAGCAACGCCGCGUGAGUGAAGAAGGUUUUCGGAUCGUAAAACUCGGUUGGUAGAGAAGAACGUUGGUGAGAGUGGAAAGCUCAUCAAGUGACGGUAACUACCCAGAAAGGGACGGCUAACUACGUC
rnacentral:rRNA from 1 species